UGGGGAAUAUUGGACAAUGGGGGCAACCCUGAUCCAGCAAUGCCGCGUGUGUGAAGAAGGUCUUCGGAUUGUAAAGCACUUUCGACGGGGACGAUGAUGACGGUACCCGUAGAAGAAGCCCCGGCUAACUUCGUGCCAGCAGCCGCGGUAAUACGAAGGGGGCUAGCGUUGCUCGGAAUGACUGGGCGUAAAGGGCGUGUAGGCGGUUUACACAGUCAGAUGUGAAAUCCCCGGGCUUAACCUGGGAGCUGCAUUUGAUACGUGUAGACUAGAGUGUGAGAGAGGGUUGUGGAAUUCCCAGUGUAGAGGUGAAAUUCGUAGAUAUUGGGAAGAACACCGGUGGCGAAGGCGGCAACCUGGCUCAUGACUGACGCUGAGGCGCGAAAGCGUGGGGAGCAAACAGGAUUAGAUACCCUGGUAGUCCACNCUGUAAACGAUGUGUGCUAGAUGUUGGGUAACUUUGUUAUUCAGUGUCGCAGUUAACGCGUUAAGCACACCG
rnacentral:rRNA from 1 species